UUAAUUUGGUCAUAUUAAAGACGGUGUCCAUAAUGUGGCCAUAUUACAGAUGUCAUCCUCAAUAUGGCUACAUUAUGGACACUGUCCUUACUAUGGAAA